rnacentral:rRNA from 1 species
UACGUAGGGCGCAAGCGUUGUCCGGAAUUAUUGGGCGUAAAGAGCUCGUAGGCGGUCUGUCGCGUCUGCUGUGAAAACCCGAGGCUCAACCUCGGGCCUGCAGUGGGUACGGGCAGACUAGAGUGCGGUAGGGGAGAAUGGAACUCCUGGUGUAGCGGUGGAAUGCGCAGAUAUCAGGAGGGAACACCGGUGGCGAAGGCGGGUCUCUGGGCCGAUAACUGACGCUUGGAGGAGCGAAAGCGUGGGGAGCGAACAGG